UACGUAGGGUGCGAGCGUUGUUCGGAAUUACUGGGCGUAAAGCGCACGUAGGCGGACUCUUAAGUCGGUGGUGAAAUCCUGGAGCUCAACUCCAGAACUGCCUUCGAUACUGAGAGUCUCGAGUCCGGGAGAGGUGAGUGGAACUGCGAGUGUAGAGGUGAAAUUCGUAGAUAUUCGCAAGAACACCAGUGGCGAAGGCGGCUCACUGGCCCGGUACUGACGCUGAGGUGCGAAAGCGUGGGGAGCAAACAGG
rnacentral:rRNA from 1 species